rnacentral:rRNA from 1 species
UACGAAGGGGGCGAGCGUUGUUCGGAAUUACUGGGCGUAAAGGGCGCGCAGGCGGCUCUGAAAGUCAGAUGUGUAAGCCCCGGGCUUAACCUGGGAACUGCAUUUGAUACUCUAGAGCUUGAGUACGGGAGAGGAGAGUGGAAUUCCCAGUGUAGAGGUGAAAUUCGUAGAUAUUGGGAAGAACACCGGUGGCGAAGGCGGCUCUCUGGACCGUAACUGACGCUGAGGCGCGAAAGCGUGGGGAGCAAACAGG